GCCUUUGUAGUGUAGUGGUCAGCACGCUGGAUGCAUAUUCCAGAGGUCCGUGGUUCGAUUCCCGACAAGGGCG